GACGAACGCUGGCGGCGUGCCUAAUACAUGCAAGUAGAACGCGGUUGCGAACGGGAGAGUAACGCGUAGGUAACUGCCUCAUAGCGGGGGAUAACCAUUGGAAACGAUAGCUAAUACCGCAUACUGUGCGAUGGACCUGCGUUGUAUUAGCUAGUUGGUGCGGUAAAGGCGCACCAAGGCGACGACACAUAGCCGACCUGCGAGGGUGGUCGGCCACACUGGGACUGAGACACGGCCCAGACUCCAACGGGAGGCAGCAGUAGGGAAUCUUCGGCAAUGGACGGAGGUCUGACCGAGCUACGGCGCGUGAGUGAAGAGGGUUUCCGGAUCGUAAAGCUCUGUUGUUAGAGAAGCGGUAUCUAACCAGAAAGCCACGGCUAACUACGUGCCAGCAGCCGCGGUAAUUC
rnacentral:rRNA from 1 species